UACGAAGGGGCUAGCGUUGCUCGGAAUCACUGGGCGUAAAGCGCACGUAGGCGGAUUGUUAAGUCAGGGGUGAAAUCCUGGAGCUCAACUCCAGAACUGCCUUUGAUACUGGCGAUCUUGAGUCCGGGAGAGGUGAGUGGAACUGCGAGUGUAGAGGUGAAAAUUCGUAGAUAUUCGCAAGAACACCAGUGGCGAAGGCGCUCACUGGCCCGGUACUGACGCUGAGGUGCGAAAGCGUGGGGAGCAACAGG
rnacentral:rRNA from 1 species